CAGUCGCCGCGGUAAUACGGAGGGUGCAAGCGUUAAUCGGAAUUACUGGGCGUAAAGCGCACGCAGGCGGUCUGACAAGUCAGAUGUGAAAUCCCCGGGCUUAACCUGGGAACUGCAUUUGAAACUGUCAGGCUGGAGUCUUGUAGAGGGGGGUGGAAUUCCAGGUGUAGCGGUGAAAUGCGUAGAGAUCUGGAGGAAUACCGGUGGCGAAGGCGGCCCCCUGGACAAAGACUGACGCUCAGGUGCGAAAGCGUGGGGAGCAAACAGGAUUAGAUACCCGUGUAGUCCCUGUCUCUUAUCC
rnacentral:rRNA from 1 species